UGGGGAAUAUUGCACAAUGGGCGCAAGCCUGAUGCAGCGACGCCGCGUGCGGGAUGGAGGCCUUCGGGUUGUAAACCGCUUUGUUCAAGGGCAAGGCAGGCUUUCGGGCCUGUUGAGUGGAUUGUUCGAAUAAGCACCGGCUAACUACGUGCC
rnacentral:rRNA from 1 species